AAAAACUUGCCGAGCCUCGCACACACCACUUCACUCUCCACUCCGAGGCUCAGGGAGCAAGUACCUGACGUGGGGGGGAAAAGUUGGCUUUUUUUCCUCCUUCGUCUUUUGCGCCCUUCUCUAUCUUCCCAGAAGGGAAGGACCGUUUAAACUAUUUUAGACGCAAUCAAGGGGAAAAAAAAUCACCGUGUGGAAUUGAGCGGCAGUUUUAAAUGUAUUAAGGCGAGGGAUCAUCUGCAAAAAAAAAAAAAAAAAAUUUUUUUGAGACGCCAAAAGGAGCCAGUUUGUGUACUGCAGCCGCCUUGUGACUCUGGAUCUUGUCUUUUGGCCGGCGCCUUGAUUCCUGCCCAGCUGGAUUUGGGGGGCAACACUGCCUGGUGCAGGCAUCAGAGCAAAUGACACUACAAAGAUGCAUAAAAUGAAUAGACAGUCCAGCCAGUCAAAGACCGGGGGCAGCAGCACACCAGCAAGACGGCAUCUUCUCCCCAGCCUAGAAGCCCUGUGAAAUCGAGGAUCUUCCCCCUAAAACACACACACACAAGAUAUGUGCAAUCAAGCUGCCACCGCUUGCUAAAAAGCCUAACCCAAAAGGAUCUGGACCAGAUCCCUGAAUCAGCUGUCACUUCUAUAGAAUGGGAUUUUUUUUUCCUUCCUCCUUAACCUGCGCUGGAAAUUGCCUUUGGCUUUAUACAUCUUUAUAGAGGGAGGCAAAAGAGUCUGGCGUGAGAAUGAAGCAAUUUACAAUGCAAAUAGAGGCCUGUGAAGGGACGGAUGCUGCUCCUCACUUCUAAAAGCUUGCUGCACCUGAGUAGCUGGUCUUAUUUUCUGAUAUUAAUAGUUGAAUUGUUGGCUAACGCUGCCGGAGAUUACUUGCUGAAAGGAAAAAAAAAAAAGUUCGGAAUAAACUUUGAAAGCCACAGAUCUCGUUUGGAUGUUUUAGCCGCACACACAAGCAGAACCCAGGUCAUAUUUACACACGAGGAGGAAUCUGAUGCGCGGCAAGUCUCCUGGAGAACUACUCUUCGGUACUGCCCGAAAGAAAGGAUCCAGGUCCGGAGUCUGGCCAGAGGAAGACAGAGGUGUGUGAGGGAAGUGAGUUGUUAUCUUUGGUUAUCUAGCUGUAUGAGUGUAUUGGUCUUCAUAAAGCUAGAUAACCGAAAGUAAAAACUCCUUCAAGAUCGCCGGGCAGCGUGUGAGAAUGAAAGCCUCCAACCAACAGACAGUAAAAACCAGAAAGGUCAGGAAUACUUAUUGAAUCUAACUUUGUUUUGUUUUUGUUUUUGUUUUUCCUUUUGAUUAAAGGUGGGGUUAGCGGAAGGGAAAUGGCACACAUAUGCCAAAACCUAAAGGUGCCAGAUACUUUGAGAGGCGUAGUUUCAGCUACAAAGGAGAAUUGUAUAGAGCUAAUGAGUAAAAGAUGCACUUGCAGUUUGUUCUACUUUAAGGCAAAAGUUUACAUAUGAGGGUUUUUUUUUUUCUUUAGAAAGCUAUUGGUAGAGAUGUCUGGUACUUAGUUUAAAAAUGAUUCUAUAAUGUGUGGAUUUAUGCAGUUCCCUUCUGAGGCUCCCCUCCCCCUGAAAGUUGGAAGAUUAUGUCUCCAAACUACAUGUAUUGAGGUUGCAUGACAAAUUAUAUGAAUUAGACUUUCAGAAAAGUUUAUAUUGGAAAGUUAACAAUUUAUAGCUACUAAGGACAUAGAACUAGCAGGGAAAUGCAAGAAAAAAAAAAAAGCAAAGGCUGAUUUUUAUUCUUCUAUUCAAAAUACAAGGACAGAUGCUUCUCUGUUCCAAGAGGGUUUCCUUGAGGAAGCUACUGAAGCAGAAAGACAUGAUGGAGACGAGAUCGCCUCCCCUCUUGUCAAAGUGUUAAAAAAAUGUUCUGUCUUACUCUGCGCCUAGCAUUGGAAAUGAAAGUGACAUUUACGCCACAACCCACGUGUGCGCCUCCUCUCUUUUUGUUUAAGGAUGAUCAGGUCUAUCCAGGAAACAGCUCUGGCAUCCCAAACUGAAAUAAUUAGGACGUAUAUAGACCUGACAAAAAUGGAAAGGGGGUGGGGAAUCUGAGGGUCUGUCUUGCCUAAUUGAUUCCGCUAAACGGAAUGCAGGAGAUGUGAACGGCAGGACGCUCCGAUUCCCACGCUCGGGGGCAAGUGGUAAAGCGGGCGGGCAGCCUAUGACAGACAGCCCUGUUGGGGGGUGGGGGUAUGAAAAAAACAUCAAGUGCACACACCAUACUCAUCUCCAUCGCUUAAGAAAGUAGAGGCAUUUCCCACCCACAGCCAUCUGCAGCCUCCCAAAUGGCAACACCAACUGUUCUGUAGCUGCGGCAUACUGUCUGUUUCUGUUAAUUUUAUAACCGCUGCUUAAUCUGGCCACAAUUAAGUUUGGCUUUCUCCUUUGGUUGAGAUUUUCAAUAUUUUUUAAAGAAAGCUUGUGCAAAGUGGUUUCAAGAAAGGCCCAUUACUGCCUGCCCCUGGUGUCAAGUUCUCAGUCUGUGCUUUGGCCUUGUGUCCACCUUUUGGUUUUGGUUUUGGGUGGGUUAUAGUUGAAAAGCUCCAUCUUUCUACAGCAGACAUUAGUACCACUUCCUCAGACUGUGUCUUAACCUAAUAAAUCUAGGAACUUGGCCUAAUUACGCUAGCACACACACUGGAAGUAAAGAAAGUUGAUUACAAUAACAAUAUGAUAAAAGUUGUUUUGGUAUAGUCCCAGCUAGAGGUGUUCUGAAUAGUCAUUUAAAUUUAAUCUAAAAAUGACUAUGCUUACUAUAAACUUUGGGGCUUUGGAGCUCCCUACUGUAAUCUUCUCAUAUAAGUCCUCGCAUUUUUUCAUGUGUUACCAAGCAAAUAUUUGUAUAGGCACUACAUUGCAAUAAGCAAAUGUCCAAAAUGGCACAUUACCUUCCACGUGGUCUGGGUUGCUGAAAAUCCCAAGUAGAUUCAUUUUUCUUCAAAAAACAGUAUGUUUUUCUUUGUAGCUUCAAUCUUUAUAAGACUUACGGAGACUUUACAGACUGGAGAAGCCUGUAAAACCACUGUUAGUUUCAGUUAGAAAUUCCAAGGCAUUUCAUUAAGGUAAAUUCCCAAUUUGGCUGCUGAACGCGUGCCAAAGUUUUACUACUGUAGUGACCGUUGAGAAGACCCUUGUUUAUUUACAUUUGAAGCACUGUUUGUGCAAACAACCUUUCAUUGUUAAGUGCCUGUAUUCCUUUCAUUUACUUCAUGUCCAGGGGUGCUAUUUACCUAGAACCAUUGUCUACUACAAUUAACAUUUACAUUACAAAGUGUGUGGUUUUCUUUCUCAAGGAGGUUCAAUUAAGGCAAUAAGAUGUUUGCUGGGGGAACCUAUUGUUUACUGAAAGCACUCAAUGGAGUCAAAUUACUAAAGCUUUUGCCUACAUCUUGGUCUUUUAUGCAAAUGUGUUAAAUAUAACAUCUAAGGAAAUAAACAAUAUUAUAAUUAUGUGUUUACCAUUGUCAUAUCAAACUUGCUUUGUAUCAUACUAAUGUUACAUGACUUAUCAAUCAAUAAAAAUACAUUUCAAUGUUA